rnacentral:rRNA from 1 species
GUAGGGAAUAUUGCACAAUGGGCGAAAGCCUGAUGCAGCAACGCCGCGUGCACGAUGAAGGCCUUCGGGUCGUAAAGUGCUUUUCGGGGAGAAGAGGAAGGACGGUAUCCCCGGAAUAAGGAUCGGCUAACUACGUGCCAGCAGCCGCGGUAAAACGUAGGAUCCGAGCGUUAUCCGAAUUCACUGGGCGUAAAGCGCGUGCAGGCGGUUCAGUAAGUUGGAUGUAAAAGCUCCUGGCUCAACUGGGAGAGGACGUUCAAUACUGUUGGACUAGAGGGCGGCAGAGGGAGGUGGAAUUCCCGGUGUAGUGGUGAAAUGCGUAGAUAUCGGGAGGAACACCAGUGGCGAAGGCGGCCUCCUGGGCCGUACCUGACGCUCAGACGCGAAAGCUAGGGGAGCAAACGGGAUUAGAUACCCCAGUAGUCC